AUGAACGCUAGCUACAGGCUUAACACAUGCAAGUCGAGGGGCAGCAUGGUCUUAGCUUGCUAAGGCUGAUGGCGACCGGCGCACGGGUGAGUAACACGUAUCCAACCUGCCGUCUACUCUUGGCCAGCCUUCUGAAAGGAAGAUUAAUCCAGGAUGGGAUCAUGAGUUCACAUGUCCGCAUGAUUAAAGGUAUUUUCCGGUAGACGAUGGGGAUGCGUUCCAUUAGAUAGUAGGCGGGGUAACGGCCCACCUAGUCAACGAUGGAUAGGGGUUCUGAGAGGAAGGUCCCCCACAUUGGAACUGAGACACGGUCCAAACUCCUACGGGAGGCAGCAGUGAGGAAUAUUGGUCAAUGGGCGAUGGCCUGAACCAGCCAAGUAGCGUGAAGGAUGACUGCCCUAUGGGUUGUAAACUUCUUUUAUAAAGGAAUAAAGUCGGGUAUGCAUACCCGUUUGCAUGUACUUUAUGAAUAAGGAUCGGCUAACUCCGUGCCAGCAGCCGCGGUAAUACGGAGGAUCCGAGCGUUAUCCGGAUUUAUUGGGUUUAAAGGGAGCGUAGAUGGAUGUUUAAGUCAGUUGUGAAAGUUUGCGGCUCAACCGUAAAAUUGCAGUUGAUACUGGAUGUCUUGAGUGCAGUUGAGGCAGGCGGAAUUCGUGGUGUAGCGGUGAAAUGCUUAGAUAUCACGAAGAACUCCGAUUGCGAAGGCAGCCUGCUAAGCUGCAACUGACAUUGAGGCUCGAAAGUGUGGGUAUCAAACAGGAUUAGAUACCCUGGUAGUCCACACGGUAAACGAUGAAUACUCGCUGUUUGCGAUAUACGGCAAGCGGCCAAGCGAAAGCGUUAAGUAUUCCACCUGGGGAGUACGCCGGCAACGGUGAAACUCAAAGGAAUUGACGGGGGCCCGCACAAGCAGCGGAGCAUGUGGUUUAAUUCGAAGCAACGCGAAGAACCUUACCAGGUCUUGACAUCGAGUGACGAAUCUAGAGAUAGAUUUUUCCUUCGGGACACAAAGACAGGUGGUGCAUGGUUGUCGUCAGCUCGUGUCGUGAGAUGUUGGGUUAAGUCCCGCAACGAGCGCAACCCUUGUUGCUAGUUGCUACGCAAGAGCACUCUAGCGAUACUGCCGUUGACAAAACGGAGGAAGGUGGGGACGACGUCAAAUCAUCAUGCCCCUUAUGACCUGGGCUACACACGUACUACAAUGGAUGUUAACAGAGGGAAGCAAGACAGCGAUGUGGAGCAAACCCCUAAAAACAUUCUCAGUUCAGAUUGCAGGCUGCAACUCGCCUGCAUGAAGUUGGAAUUGCUAGUAAUCGCGGAUCAGAAUGCCGCGGUGAAUACGUUCCCGGGCCUUGUACACACCGCCCGUCACACCAUGGGAGUUGGGAGUGCCCAAAGCCGGUGAGGCAACCGCAAGGAGCCAGCCGUCUAAGGCAAGACCAAUGACUGGGGUG
rnacentral:rRNA from 1 species